CUGAUCUGUGUGGUUCUGACCAGGAAGCCUCAUCCUUACUGAGCAGGGAGAGCACAGGCAAGUGCAUUCAAAAUCCACCCUUUUUAAUCAUAUGACAACCCUAAGGAAUAGGCAUGAACCGCACCCUGGUUCUUGUUGGGGUUGUGCUGGGGCUCACACUACCAGAUAGUUACUGCAGCCCUGUGGUGUGUGAGGGCUGGCUGUGUCCUGCCGGUCCAGUUCUGCUGCUGCUGCCCUCCAGGAAGCCAGCGAGGGAGAGCCCAUCAAAGGUCAGCCUUCAUCUGGCAGGGAUGCAUCCUGGCCACCUGAGUAAAGGAAAACUCUUACCGGAGAAGACCCAUUUACCUUCAACAAUCUUGAAGAGUAUCACUUGUCUUGGGCCUUUCGAAUGCAUAUUAUUCUGGAACUUUUGUACCAGCUAAGGCUAUUACUGAACUUUUAACAUGGCUGUACUGUCUAGAUGAGAUUUCAUAGCCCAGGGCCCUGAGGACAGGCAGGACUUCCAAGAAGGUAGAGCUUUUUCUUAGAAAGCUUUGAAUAGCGCUGCUUCCUCUCAUGGAUUUUUGAAGUCGCUACUGGUCAUCCAAGAUAAUUUGAAUACAAAACCAUAUGAAAAAUCUCCCGCUCUCAAAGUGUUUUGUAAGGAGUUAACAUGUAAAUGUAAACUUCCUCCUAUGGUAAACAUUUACAAUGAAUCAGAGAGAUCUGUAGUGGGUGCAAGUUGAGCUCAAUAGAUGUAUGAGAAUUUAAAUGCACUGCCAACCUGACUGGUUCUCCAGUGUGUAGUCUUAUCUACAGUGAGGUAAAUGAGAUUUUUACUAACGAAAGAUGUGGGAACAAUCCUGGACCCCCAAACAGCCAUAGCUCAGUCCUCAACACCUUGUGCGUUCUCUUUUCAGCCACUGCUUGCUUUAAGACUUAAAAUCUUAAAAUGUUCUAUCAAAGCCCUUUUUGAUAUAUUGCUGAAAAGACUUCUGCCUCUCUUGAGCUGAAUGGCAGGCAGUGAAGAUAUAGAGACCAGAUAAUAAAUAUUAAGAUUUUUUAAAAUACAUGAUUGUUGAAUGAAGACAUUCCAAAUUCUCCUGCGUUGAUUGUUUCUUGUGUUAUUAUCUGAAUGUUAAAUAAAUCUUUUUUGAUUGAUAAAUCUUGAUGAUGAUAAAUCUGGAUAAAUCUUUUGAUGUCUUCCAUUUCAUAACAAUAAAGCUAUUUCCAAUG